AUGGAGGAUGGAGUUAACUAUGUGCUUUGUCCUUUGCUGACACGUGAGACCAGGAAUCAUUUAUUCUUUGAAUGCAAUUUUAGUGCGAGAGUAUGGAAUUAUCUUCAAAUUGUUUGGCCACCUGGAGAUGAUAUGUUCAACAUUGUCAUGCAAGCUAAACAAGACUUUGCCAAACCUUCCUUUACUGAGGUUGUCUUUGUGGCUUGCUGGAACAUUUGGAUAAUGAGAAAUGCAAAAGUUUUCAGGCAUGAGAGGCAGAGUUUCAAUAGAUGGAGAUGUGCUUUUAUCCAUGAUAUUACACUCAUGCAGCACAUAGUCAAGCAAAGAUAUAAGGAAGAGCUCUUAAGAUGGAUUUCCUUUUUACCUCCAUGA
rnacentral:rRNA from 1 species